GACGAACGCUGGCGGCGUGCUUAACACAUGCAAGUCGAACGGAAAGGCCCUGCUUUUGUGGGGUGCUCGAGUGGCGAACGGGUGAGUAACACGUGAGUAACCUGCCCUUGACUUUGGGAUAACUUCAGGAAACUGGGGCUAAUACCGGAUAGGAGCUCCUGCUGCAUGGUGGGGGUUGGAAAGUUUCGGCGGUUGGGGAUGGACUCGCGGCUUAUCAGCUUGUUGGUGGGGUAGUGGCUUACCAAGGCUUUGACGGGUAGCCGGCCUGAGAGGGUGACCGGCCACAUUGGGACUGAGAUACGGCCCAGACUCCUACGGGAGGCAGCAGUGGGGAAUAUUGCACAAUGGGCGGAAGCCUGAUGCAGCAACGCCGCGUGCGGGAUGACGGCCUUCGGGUUGUAAACCGCUUUCGCCUGUGACGAAGCGUGAGUGACGGUAAUGGGUAAAGAAGCACCGGCUAACUACGUGCCAGCAGCCGCGGUGAUACGUAGGGUGCGAGCGUUGUCCGGAUUUAUUGGGCGUAAAGGGCUCGUAGGUGGUUGAUCGCGUCGGAAGUGUAAUCUUGGGGCUUAACCCUGAGCGUGCUUUCGAUACGGGUUGACUUGAGGAAGGUAGGGGAGAAUGGAAUUCCUGGUGGAGCGGUGGAAUGCGCAGAUAUCAGGAGGAACACCAGUGGCGAAGGCGGUUCUCUGGGCCUUUCCUGGCGCUGAGGAGCGAAAGCGUGGGGAGCGAACAGGCUUAGAUACCCUGGUAGUCCACGCUGUAAACGGUGGGUACUAGGUGUGGGGUCCAUUCCACGGGUUCCGUGCCGUAGCUAACGCUUUAAGUACCCCGCCUGGGGAGUACGGCCGCAAGGCUAAAACUCAAAGGAAUUGACGGGGCCCCGCACAAGCGGCGGAGCAUGCGGAUUAAUUCGAUGCAACGCGUAGAACCUUACCUGGGUUUGACAUGGAUCGGGAGCGCUCAGAGAUGGGUGUGCCUCUUUUGGGGUCGGUUCACAGGUGGUGCAUGGCUGUCGUCAGCUCGUGUCGUGAGAUGUUGGGUUAAGUCCCGCAACGAGCGCAACCCUUGUUCACUGUUGCCAGCACGUUAUGGUGGGGACUCAGUGGAGACCGCCGGGGUCAACUCGGAGGAAGGUGGGGAUGACGUCAAGUCAUCAUGCCCCUUAUGUCCAGGGCUUCACGCAUGCUACAAUGGCUGGUACAGAGAGUGGCGAGCCUGUGAGGGUGAGCGAAUCUCGGAAAGCCGGUCUCAGUUCGGAUUGGGGUCUGCAACUCGACCUCAUGAAGUCGGAGUCGCUAGUAAUCGCAGAUCAGCAACGCUGCGGUGAAUACGUUCCCGGG
rnacentral:rRNA from 1 species